rnacentral:rRNA from 1 species
GCAUAUCAUAAGCGGAGGAAAAGAAACCCAACAGGGAUUGCCCCAGUAACGGCGAGUGAAGCGGCAACAGCUCAAAUUUGAAAUCUGGCCCCAGGCCCGAGUUGUAAUUUGCAGAGGAUGCUUUUGGCGCGGUGCCUUCCGAGUGCCCUGGAACGGGACGCCACAGAGGGUGAGAGCCCCAUCUGGUUGGACACCAAGCCUAUGUAAAGCUCCUUCGACGAGUCGAGUAGUUUGGGAAUGCUGCUCUAAAUGGGAGGUAUAUGUCUUCUAAAGCUAAAUACCGGCCAGAGACCGAUAGCGCACAAGUAGAGUGAUCGAAAGAUGAAAAGCACUUUGAAAAGAGGGUUAAAUAGUACGUGAAAUUGUUGAAAGGGAAGCGCUUAUGACCAGACUUGGGCCCGGUGAAUCAUCCAGCGUUCUCGCUGGUGCACUUUGCCGGGCACAGGCCAGCAUCAGUUCGCCGCGGGGGAUAAAGGCUUCGGGAAUGUGGCUCCCUCGGGAGUGUUAUAGCCCGUUGCACAAUACCCUGGGGCGGACUGAGGUUCGCGCAUCUGCUAGGAUGCUGGCGUAAUGGUCAUCAGCGACCCGUCUUGAAACACGGACCAAGGAGUCGUCUUCGUAUGCGAGUGUUCGGGUGUAAAACCCCUACGCGUAAUGAAAGUGAACGCAGGUGAGAGCUUCGGCGCAUCAUCGACCGAUCCUGAUGUUCUCGGAUGGAUUUGAGUAAGAGCAUACGGGGCCGGACCCGAAAGAAGGUGAACUAUGCCUGUAUAGGGUGAAGCCAGAGGAAACUCUGGUGGAGGCUCGCAGCGGUUCUGACGUGCAAAUCGAUCGUCAAAUAUGGCAUGGGGCGAAAGACUAAUCGA